GGCAAAAAGGCUGCGGAAAUGAGCUGUGCCUCUUGUUGGAUUAAUUUAUUCCGAAUGUGGGGGAAAUUAUUCUGGCGGUGGGUCACUUCAAGUGCGCCUGGAAUGCUUAAAAUCUCGAUAAUUGCGAAAUUUUCAUAAGCAGCAGAAUGGUGGUACUGCGUAUCGGACUAACGCGUGGGUGCAUACAUAUACCAAGGGUGGUAUAUAGAUGUGAAUUAAUCGGUAUUUUUGCUUUUUUUUCCCCCCGGGAUUAGCGCUGUUUAUUAUUAUUUAUUAUAAUUGUUCAAUGUAAUUAGAGAAUGUAAGGAUAUACAAUUCUACGG
rnacentral:lncRNA from 1 species